rnacentral:rRNA from 1 species
AGAGUUUGAUCCUGGCUCAGAAUGAACGCUGGCGGCGCGCCUAACACAUGCAAGUCGAACAAGAAAUCUCGAGCUUGCUCGAGAGAGUAAAGUGGCGCACGGGUGAGUAAGACGUGGGUAACCUGCCCUUAAAUCUUGGAUAAUCCACCGAAAGGUGGCCUAAUACGGGAUACAGUCCCGAGAAUCACGGUUCUUGGGAUGAAAGCUGACCUCUUCUUGAAAGUUGGCGUUUAAGGAGGGGCCCGCGUGCCAUUAGCUUGUUGGUAGGGUAAAGGCCUACCAAGGCUACGAUGGUUAGCUGGUCUGAGAAGACGGCCAGCCACACUGGAACUGAAACACGGUCCAGACUCCUACGGGAGGCAGCAGUGAGGAAUCUUGCGCAAUGGGGGAAACCCUGACGCAGCGACGCCGCGUGAGUGAAGAAGGCCUUCGGGUCGUAAAGCUCUGUCAAGUAGGAAUAAAGCUGUGCAUUUAAUAGGUGCACGGUCUGAAGGUACUACUAAAGGAAGCACCGGCUAACUCCGUGCCAGCAGCCGCGGUAAUACGGAGGGUGCGAGCGUUAUUCGGAUUUAUUGGGCGUAAAGAGCGUGUAGGCGGUUGGGUUAGUCAGAUGUGAAAUCCUUCUGCUCAACAGAAGAAGUGCAUCUGAAACUGCCCGACUUGAGUACGAGAGAGGAAAGUGGAAUUCCCAGUGUAGAGGUGAAAUUCGUAGAUAUUGGGAGGAACACCUGUGGCGAAGGCGACUUUCUAGAUCGAUACUGACGCUGAGAUGCGAAAGCGUGGGGAGCAAACAGGAUUAGAUACCCUGGUAGUCCACGCCGUAAACGAUGGGAACUAGGUGUAGCGGUAUUGAUCCCUGCUGUGCCGGAGUUAACGCAUUAAGUUCCCCGCCUGGGGAGUACGGUCGCAAGGCUAAAACUCAAAGGAAUUGACGGGGGCCCGCACAAGCGGUGGAGCAUGUGGUUCAAUUCGAUGCAACGCGAAAACCUUACCUGGGUUUGACAUCCUCUGACAGUCCCUGAAAGGGAUCUUCCCGAUUAUCGGGACAGAUGACAGUGCUGCAUGCUGUCGUCAGCUCGUGUCUGAAUGUGGGUAGUCCCGCAACGAGCCCACAUGUCUUUAGUGCAAUAUUAAGUAGGCACUUAAGAUCUUGCCGGUACCGGAGAAGUGGAUGACUCACAGUUCCUAUGGCCUUACCCAAGACUACACACGUCCUACA